rnacentral:rRNA from 1 species
UACGGAGGGUGCGAGCGUUACCGGGAUUUACUGGGUGUAAAGGGCGUGUAGGCGGUCUUUCAAGUCCGAUGCUAAAGAACGGGGCUCAACCCCGGGGGUGCGUUGGAUACUGUAAGGCUAGACGGUCGGAGGGGGUGGUGGAAUUUCCGGAGUAGCGGUGAAAUGCGCAGAUACCGGAAGGAACGCCGAUAGCGAAGGCAGCUACCUGGACGAUUGGUGACGCUUAGGCGCGAAAGCGUGGGGAGCAAACCGG